rnacentral:tRNA from 1 species
CUGGCGAACGGCGGGAAUCAAACCCGUAACUUCUCCUUAACAAGGAGAUACUUUACAAUUCAACUAUGCUCG